rnacentral:rRNA from 1 species
AGAGUUUGAUCCUGGCUCAGGAUGAACGCUGGCGGCGUGCUUAACACAUGCAAGUCGAACGAUGAUUCCAGCUUGCUGGGGGAUUAGUGGCGAACGGGUGAGUAACACGUGAGUAACCUGCCCUUAACUCUGGGAUAAGCCUGGGAAACUGGGUCUAAUACCGGAUAUGACUCCUCAUCGCAUGGUGGGGGGUGGAAAGCUUUAUUGUGGUUUUGGAUGGACUCGCGGCCUAUCAGCUUGUUGGUGAGGUAAUGGCUCACCAAGGCGACGACGGGUAGCCGGCCUGAGAGGGUGACCGGCCACACUGGGACUGAGACACGGCCCAGACUCCUACGGGAGGCAGCAGUGGGGAAUAUUGCACAAUGGGCGAAAGCCUGAUGCAGCGACGCCGCGUGAGGGAUGACGGCCUUCGGGUUGUAAACCUCUUUCAGUAGGGAAGAAGCGAAAGUGAUGGUACCUGCAGAAGAAGCGCCGGCUAACUACGUGCCAGCAGCCGCGGUAAUACGUAGGGCGCAAGCGUUAUCCGGAAUUAUUGGGCGUAAAGAGCUCGUAGGCGGUUUGUCGCGUCUGCCGUGAAAGUCCGGGGCUCAACUCCGGAUCUGCGGUGGGUACGGGCAGACUAGAGUGAUGUAGGGGAGACUGGAAUUCCUGGUGUAGCGGUGAAAUGCGCAGAUAUCAGGAGGAACACCGAUGGCGAAGGCAGGUCUCUGGGCAUUAACUGACGCUGAGGAGCGAAAGCAUGGGGAGCGAACAGGAUUAGAUACCCUGGUAGUCCAUGCCGUAAACGUUGGGCACUAGGU